rnacentral:rRNA from 1 species
UACGAAGGGGGCUAGCGUUGCUCGGAAUUACUGCGCGUAAAGGGUGCGUAGGCGGACAUUUAAGUCAGAGGUGAAAUCCCGGAGCUUAACUUCGGAACUGCCUUUGAUACUGGGUGUCUUGAGUGUGAGAGAGGUAUGUGGAACUCCGAGUGUAGAGGUGAAAUUCGUAGAUAUUCGGAAGAACACCAGUGGCAAAGGCGACUUCCUGGCCUGUUCUUGACGCUGAGGCGCGAAAGCUAGGGGAGCAAACGGG